AAAGACACUGACAGAGAAGCGACACAGGGAAUCUCAAGAAGCUAAUGGGUAUUUGAUGGAAGGAGGACCCGUCUACAGCUAAACGGCGACAAGGAAGAGGAGGCUGGGGUAAAGAGCGGGGAAAGACGGGGCUGGAAGUGCUCAAAAGGAUCCGAUACAGCCGGAAGAGAAAAGACGUGGGGCAACGGACGCGCUCCAGUCCUGUCUUACUUGAAGUGCCAGAACUCGUCGAGUCCAGUUUCUGCCAGCCUCAGUCUGCCAAUCGGAACAGCAGCACAUCCAUUGUUACCUUCGCCAUCAGCAAUGCCAGGAGGGCCUGUACCAGUGGCCAGCCCCAAGCCCUGCCUUGCCGCCCGCUCCACUAACGCCCGCCACACCUCCCCCAGCUGCUGAAACUUGGCCACUGUUUCACGCUCCUCGCUGUCAUACUGGGAACUCAAGUGCAGCUUACAGCCAGCCAGCCAGGAAAACUAACAGCUGAGGGGCCUGUUCUACACUGCACCAAAGCCCACCUCUCAGGCAAGUGUCCCACUUCCCCAUAUAGCCGCCUAGCAUCUACCUUAGUAUUCCACAUGAUUUUCAGUGUCAGGAUCACCCCAACUUGUGCUCUGUCUGCAGUCUCUCAUGGUGUUGCUCUUUUUUUUUGUUUUGUAGGCAUGGCUCCCAUUCGGGACUCGGUCAGCCACUCCCCUAACCAAACAGGUGA
ensembl:lncRNA